rnacentral:tRNA from 2 species
GGGCCUUUAGCUCAGCGGUCAGAGCAGCCGGCUCAUAACCGGUUGGUCCGGGGUUCGAAUCCCUGAAGGCCCACCA